rnacentral:lncRNA from 1 species
ACAGGCGAGGUUCGAAAGGUGAGUUUUUAGAAUUGUCCAAUGGCAAGCUGUGACAGUUGUGUGUACCCUGGAGCUCAUCCCACCGUGGAAAACUCUGGGAAUGUCUGUCUCCACAGUCCUCGGCAAGCGGCCCCAAUAGUGGCAUUGUUUCAAGCUUUUGGAAUAUUGUUUUUGGGAAAUAAAGUGACUCCUGCUCAUUUAGCUGUGCCAACUCACUUGUUUGUCUUAUUCUUUUUGCUCAGCAGGUGGCAUUUUUGUUCAGUGAUUUUAUUUGUAUCCGCCCGUGUUCAUCAACUAUGACAUAUUAAUCAUGCAAAUUAGGAUAUGAUUAAUGAAGGAAAAAUUAAUUCCGCCACUGCAUCUGGGUCUGCUGUGACAGCUUAGUGAAUGCCCUCAUUCUCUGAUGCCAUCAGCAACUUCUCCAGGGCCGCUGCCGAUUGAUAUAUUAAUGUUUAGGGUAAAGGUUAGGGACCGAAGCCCAGAGAGACUUUCCUCUCCAGGGCUGGUGUUACAAGCACAUAUUUGCCUGACAGUGCACAUUUUUGAGACAGCGUGUUGCUAAACCCCGUCCUCCUUCCCACUGUGUGAACAGUUUGUAGGAGGAGGGAGUUCGCUCUGUCUUUCGGUGUCUUCUAGACUGAAGCCCACUGUGUCCAGGGCAAGCUCCCCGACCAACUCUGACUCUUGCUGUUUCCAAGGUCCCAGCUUCUUGUUUUCCAGAUGCUAUUUGCAGACCACGCAGUGACCCAUUCGUCCUUGUACUGCUGGGUUAGGGUCUCCCUGACCUAGCUGGUCUCAGCAAGUGGCGUCCAUCGUGGGGACUCAAAUCCAGGUCGAAGGGUUGCCAGAACAAUGGUUGGAGUGGAAAACUAGCUGGAGGACACUCGAGUACUCUUAAAGCAAUCCCUGUGAUGCAGAGGAAGAGAUUCCAGGAGGAUCCCGAGGACCCCCGGUUGCAGCCAUGUCAAGACUGACGCUGCGGAGGACCCCAACUGUCACGAGCAACACCCAUCGAACACAGCCACCCACCUGGGGACAGAACAGGAAGCUGUCACAGAUGGCGGAAGAAAACCUGAGGAAAGCGGGACAACCAGUCACAAUGAAUAAUUUAAUGAUAGCUCUGAUAGCGGUUAUCACCACCGCCUCUGCAGAUGUGGAUCCUGACUCCUGCAAGAAGUAGCUCACCGUGACAAAGCUGCCUUUGCUUUUAUCGAUUUGCAAAUCAGAGAAGGGGGACAUAUUGGGAGCAGGCCCCCCAAAAUCUGGCCAUAAACUGGCCCCAAAACUGGACUGGCCAUAAACUGGCCCCAAAACUGGAC